rnacentral:rRNA from 1 species
CGUAGGUGGCAAGCGUUGUCCGGAAUUAUUGGGCGUAAAGCGCGCGCAGGCGGAAUAAUAAGUCUGUCGUGAAAGUGCGGGGCUCAACCCCGUGAUUGCAAUGGAACUGUUAUUCUUGAGUGCAGGAGAGGAAAGUGGAAUUCCCAGUGUAGCGGUGAAAUGCGUAGAUAUUGGGAGGAACACCAGUGGCGAAGGCGACUUUCUGGACUGUGUCUGACGCUGAGGCGCGAAAGCCAGGGUAGUGAACGGGAUUAGAUACCCCGGUAAUCCUGGCCGUAAACGAUGGGUACUAGGUGUAGGGGGUAUCGACCCCUCCUGUGCCGGAGUUAACGCAAUAAGUACCCCGCCUGGGGAGUACGGCCGCAAGGUUG